CCCUUAGAUGUUCUGGGCCGCACGCGCGCUACACUGACGAUGGCAACGAGUUUUUCCUUCGCCGAAAGGUGUGGGUAAUCUUUUGAAACAUCGUCGUGCUGGGGAUAGAUCAUUGCAAUUUUUGAUCUUGGACGAGGAAUUCCUAGUAAGCGCGAGUCAUCAGCUCGCGUUGAUUACGUCCCUGCCCUUUGUACACACCGCCCGUCGCUACUACCGAUUGAAUGGUUUAGUGAGGACUCCUGAUUGGCGCCGCCGCCCCGGCAACGGAGCAGCGGACUGCCGAAAAGUUGUUCAAACUUGAUCAUUUAGAGGAAGUAAAAGUCGUAACA
rnacentral:rRNA from 1 species